rnacentral:rRNA from 1 species
CCUACGGGAGACAGCAGUGAGGAAUAUUGGUCAAUGGGCGGGAGCCUGAACCAGCCAAGUCGCGUGAGGGAAGACGGUCCUAUGGAUUGUAAACCUCUUUAGGCGGGGAGCAAUGCCGGGCACGCGUGCCCGGAGGGAGAGUACCCGCAGAAUAAGCAUCGGCUAACUCCGUGCCAGCAGCCGCGGUAAUCCGGAGGAUGCGAGCGUUAUCCGGAUUUAUUGGGGUUAAAGGGUGCGUAGGCGGAUUUUUAAGUCAGCGGUAAAAUGUCCGGGCUCAACCCGGGCCGGCCGUUGAAACUGGUGUGCUUGAGUGUGCGGUAUGUUGUCGUAUGUCGUGGUGUAGCGGUGAAAGGCAUAGAUAUCACGCAGAACUCCGAUUGCGAAGGCAGCAUACCGGCGCCCGACUGACGCUGAGGCACGAAAGCGUGGGGAUCGAACAGGAUUAGAUACCCUUGUAGUC